AAGUGCAUGGAUAAGAUGCAAAUUGUAGAGGUAAAAUGUGUCAUUAGACAAACUUUACAGUUGUUCAACGAAAUUGAUUCAAGUUUCAGAAAAAUUCGUUUCAUUGUUUUGUAUUUUUAUACUGGAGUGGCUCUUCAGUCAAUCUGGUUUCUUCAUUUCGGCAUAUUCACUGGAAAUCAUUCUAUUGUGUUGGAUACUCUCAUUGCUGGCCUUGGGAUCACCGUAAUAACUGAUAUUUCAGCGAUAAGCUUGUUCUGUGCUGCAUUAACGAACAAGGUUGAGAGUCUCUAUCCAAAGUGGCAUCGAAUAUAUUCUAAAAGAAAAAUACCUAUUUUCAUGAAGUUACAGAUUAUUGAAAUCUUAAAUAGGAUAACAUUACCUACAAACGGAAUUCAAAUUGGUGAUUAUGGUUUGAUAACGAAACAAUUUGUGCUAAAG